rnacentral:sRNA from 1 species
AUGAACCACCGUUGCUGCUGCUUGAAUCAACUCGUUGAAUCUAGUCAUAUCCACACCGCGUCACCAUCAGGGAUAUCAUUUACAGAAUGACGACGAACUGCCUAUACAUGAUUUUGUGAACUACACAUGAUACGAGAAUGUGCCAAGUUGUUGUUGAUGAAAUUAUGGAAUUAUGGUAGUGGUUAAGAUCUUUUGCGUAGUUGAGCUGGAGUGUUGGAUGUAUCAGGUCUCAGGUCAGCUUAAAGUGUACGGGUUAUUUAUCGGGUAAUUUGGAACUGGCAACAAAAAGUUAGACAGGACGACUAACAAAAUAAUGGGGUUGGGAUGUUUUGGGAACGGGUUUAGUUUGUAAAGUUGAGCAUUACAUAUCACAACUAUCGUGGUAAAAUGUAUGAUAUAGGACAUGCAUAUCAUUUCAUAUGUGUUUUUAAGUAUUCAUUGAUAAUUGAAUUUUGUCAAUUAUAUAUGUGAAGGUAUAAGUCCCUACUGAGCUUUUCAAGCUCAUCCUAACUAUAUUUUGCAGGUAUAUGAACUAGGCAAUUCAAAAGGGUAGGCAAGAUGAGAUGAAAUUGGAAAGGAGGCUUGAGCUGUUCUUGUUAUUGUAAGAAAUAAGAGUUUUAUUAUUUCUUUGUAACCUUGUAAAGAAUUUUUGGUUAAUUUUAUAAGAGGAAUUAUU